rnacentral:rRNA from 1 species
UACGUAGGGUGCGAGCGUUAAUCGGAAUUACUGGGCGUAAAGCGUGCGCAGGCGGCUUUGCAAGACAGAUGUGAAAUCCCCGGGCUCAACCUGGGAACUGCAUUUGUGACUGCAAGGCUAGAGUACGGCAGAGGGGGAUGGAAUUCCGCGUGUAGCAGUGAAACGCGUAGAUAUGCGGAGGAACACCAAUGGCGAAGGCAAUCCCCUGGGCCUGUACUGACGCUCAUGCACGAAAGCGUGGGGAGCAAACAGG